AAAGGAUACGUGGACCCACUUUAUAGACAAUCGGGAUUCCUAACCAUAGAAUCCGAUAUUUACUCGUUUGGUGUUAUUUUAUUUGAGAUUUUGUGCGGGAGAUCAACGUUUGCAAUUCACAAACAUGAGGGUCACUAUCUACCAGAUUUCAUUAAAAAGAACUUUGAAGAAGGAAAACAUGCUGAGGUGGUAUUCAAUCAAAUUAGGGAAGAGAUUCUGCCGAAAUCAUUGACUACAUUUCAAGAGAUUGCCUACCAAUGCCUACAUAUUGAACGAGAAAAAAGACCGACAACAAAAUAAGUUUUGACAGAACUUAAGAAGGCAAUGGAAUUACAAUUGAAUUUGAAUUCGGAGUUUAAAUCUGAUUAUGUGGAGACGAGGAGUCAUGCUUCCAUAAUUGAGACACAAGUAAUUGAGCGUUCCGGUGAAUUGAACAAUAUGAACAUGACGCAAAUCUGAAAAUUCUGAAAUUCAAAACAUGGAAAAGAUGUUACUUAACCAAACCGAGGACUCAGCUGAAUCUGGCUGUUAUAAGUUGGCCAUGUGGAUUCAGGAAAGUCAAGACUAUCAGGAAGGCUGCUAGACCUUCUCGGCCAAAUGUCUCUGAAACAGAUAAUUUUGGUUGUUGUAUUA